CAGCCGCCACGGUAAAACGAAGGGUGCAAGCGUUAAUCGGAAUUACUGGGCGUAAAGCGUGCGUAGGCGGUUUGUUAAGUCUGCUGUGAAAUCCCCGGGCUCAACCUGGGAAUGGCAGUGGAUACUGGCAAGCUAGAGUGUGUCAGAGGAUGGUGGAAUUCCCGGUGUAGCGGUGAAAUGCGUAGAGAUCGGGAGGAACAUCAGUGGCGAAGGCGGCCAUCUGGGACAACACUGACGCUGAGGCACGAAAGCGUGGGGAGCAAACAGGAUUAGAUACCCCGCGUAGUCCCUGUCUCUUAUA
rnacentral:rRNA from 1 species